rnacentral:tRNA from 1 species
CCUGGUGGCUCAGUCGGUAAAGCGUCUGCCUGCAAUGCAGGAGACCUAGGUUCGAUCCCUGGGUCAGGA